rnacentral:lncRNA from 1 species
GGAGAAGUUGCCGACGACGGUGGCGUUGAGGAUGCCGAGGUACUGGCUGGGGAGGGAUCCCGGGAGCGAUUUCGACGGCGAGAUUAUGAAGGCAAGGCCGUGGCCGCCGAGCUUUGGGUACUCAGGGACGAUGGUGAAGACGAAGGAGGUGGAGAAGGAAAAUGCUUUGCCGUCGGUGGAGUUUUUGAAUCGAACUGGGGCGGAGUAGAAGGCGUGGCCGAGGACUCUGAGAGUGUCGUUUGUGAGCUUUAGCAUGCCGUUGGGCUCGAUUGACGCGACGCCGUUUAAGCUCAUGUUGCUGCUGUUGGCGACACCAUUGAAGCCCUUGAAGUAGAGCUCUUGGUCGAGCUGGGUUUUUGCUGGGUUUGGGAGAAGGAGGAGGAAAACCCAGCAAAGUAUGAAUCUUUGGAAUGCCAUAGGAAGUAAAGCUCGAGUCUUUGCUGGGUUUUUGUUAAGCAGAUGGCACUGGAGUUUUCAGUGUCCAUUUUUUACCAAUAAUAACAGUAUUUAGAUAGGACAGUUUUUCGUUUUGCUCGUGACGGCAAAUGUGGAUGGGUCAAUUGGGUUUGCUUGCGGAAUAAAGAGUCGGUUGGUCUGCAGUUUUUCGUUUUGUUCGUGACGCAUAUUAACGGCAAUUGUGGGCGGGUCAUUGGUUCGCGCCACUUGUGUGAAGUCGAGGACGGAGAUUUGAAAUUUGUGUUGGAGGACCUAAUGGUGAGUUGCCACCUAACAUCGUCAAUCAUAAUACAAAAUGGUUUUAAUUAUUAUGAAUUUGUUAAUGUGUUUGGUAUUUUUCAAUUACUUUGAUAUUUUUGUUUUUUAAUGUGUUUGGUAUUUUUCAAUUACUUUGAUAUUUUUGUUUUUUAAUGUGUUUUAUAAUAUUUUAAUCUCACUUUUAAGAGGAUACAAUAUUUAUAAGUACAAUUGUAUAAGAGAUAAUGAAAAUCGUUGUUAAGUGUUGACUCUAAAAUUGAAAGUCUGUCUUUUUGCCUAUACAAAUACUAUACUACUUGAUUUGAAUUUUGGACAACUAUACAAGUAAAAUUAUUCUAGCAAUGAUAAUAAGAAACUCUCAUAAUAAAAAUAAAUAAAACUUAAUUUUUUACUUAUUUAGAAUAAUAAUAAAUUAAUAAUACAAUAAUAUAUAUUUAAUACACAAUAUAUACACUACUACUAGAGUUUUUAUCAUUUAUAGCCAAAAUUUUAUACUCUAAUUUCACAAAUGUCAAUUUUUAUAAUAUCAGAAAACCACCUAUAACAAACCUAAGUAUCCUCAUAAUAAAACCAAAUUACAACCAUAAUCUAAAACCUGUUUGAUCUUUUGUGUUUGUUCAAAAAUGGAGAAUUCAGAUGUUAUGCCCUGAUCCCGACAUUCGUCAGGAUCGACGCAUGACGACCAGGUGUAGGGGGUGCGGGGAGAUAUAAACAUAAGACACAAAUGAAUAGUGGUACUAAAAUGAAGAGAGGGAUUGACUUUUUAUACACGAUUUGUUACUAACGGUUAGGAUGUUUUGAUCAUGGGGAUCCGAUAUAACUUAUCCGUACAGGAUCAUUAUCCAUAACUUUUUGAAAACGUUAUAACCCCUCGCCAUAAAAUAAGUAUUGUUUCCAAAAUAUACAUACUACGUGUAGUAAGAAAAUACCUACUGUAGCCUGCAAAAUCACAAGAUUGCCACAAGUCGCAAUGUUGUGUAAAUGAACAUAUAACAACCAAUAUCACAUAAUCUCGCAUAAGCAAACAUAUCAUAUCGGGUGCUCAUCGACACAUGCUGACACACGAGUUCAUGUAGAGGUAUUCUGACAUGAAUAGGACUAGGCGUAACAAUGAUAUACGCUCUAGUACUACAAUCACGUGAAGCCUAGCGCUAUGCGAGCACAUACGAGUUUGAGUUACCUAUUGCAACAUGCACGACAGGACUGACACCUACAAUGGAUCCAAAGUGAGUGUACGGUGCAAUGUGCACAUACACGUGAAAGAUUGGCCCUGACCUGGGUGAGUACCAACACCGGUGUAGCAAACGAUGAGCAAAUAACAUAAUUAUAAUUUAUAAUCAUGCCACAACCAUUCAACAAUUCUAGUCAAUAUCUUACUAUUCAUGACCAUAAAUAUAAUUAAGGCAUCCUCUUAUAGUAAGCUUAUAUGUGCAUCCCAUAGGAUUAUUUCAUCAUUUCCCAACAAUAAGGCAUUUCUUAUAAACGUAAGUUUAAUCAUCAGGGCCGGCGCUGAGAGGGUGCAAGUGGUGCUACCGCACAAGGCCCUUGAUUUUUCAAUUUUGCAUGCAUAUACAUAUAUAUAGUAGUAAGUCACAAACUUGAGUCUUAGCGCAAGUGGAAUUAUUGCUUCUUUACAUCAGCCUAGGAGAUGAGUUCAUCUCCAUCAUUUUUUCAGUUUAUAUUUUUAUUAAAUGCAUAAGUUUCCACAAAAUAAUAUAAAAAUUCCACAUAAUAACAUGAAAAUUCGAACCCUAACCCUCUAAAUAGUUAAGGAAAAACAAUACCCCACAUUUCUACUUGUUGAUUUGUUAAAUUUGUUUGUGCUAUUAGAAUUUAUAGAAGCUCAAUUGAAAACUAAAAUUAUUAUUUUGAACAAAAAAAUAAAAAAAAUUAAAUUCUUAGUACAUUUUAGGGCCUCCAAUUCACUUUCGCAUAAGGCCCCUGAAAUCUCAAGGCCGGCUCUGUUAAUCAUGGCAAUCACGUUGAGAAUUUACUAUUAAUUGUAUAUAUGGAAACUAACCAAUAGAUAUAUACAUAUAAAUACAUACAUACAUAUAUAUAUAUAUAUAUAUAUAUAUAUAUAUAUAUAUCAAAUAAAAGACCCACUCACAGAUCAUGUCGUUGAGUCGAACCCGCCUUGUAGCAUCGAGAGUCUUUGCGAAGCGUUUCGCCUAGAAAUGAAAUCAUUUAGGUAAAUAUAACGUACUAAUGUAAUUACACAUUUUCGUACAAAGUACGGCUAAUAAAGGAACUAUCUUAAAAAGGUCGAAUUUCAAAAAACGGAUGGAGGAUUUGAAAUCGGGGCGUCUAAAUGCGCGAAGGAGGGUCCUCGACAAAUUUUGUAAAAAGUCAACGGUCAACCCUAAAAGUCAACCGAGAAGCCCCCGGUGGUCAACUACGUUAAAACUUUAUAAUUUCACUAAAUGAAUGUCAAAAAUGCACUCGGGACUUUGAAAUUAGCCAAGGAGGGUUUUCCGAGAAAUUCCGAAAAAUGUCAACACCAGGAAUAUUCCAAAGAAUAUUCCAAGAAUAUUCUGAAAUGUUUCAGGCCCAUUUUGGAAUUGGGCCGGUUGGCCAAAGUUUUGGACCAAAAGAAUAUGGGCCGGGCUUUUUGGGCUUAAGGCCCCCCCCCUCUUUUUUUUCUUCUUUUUUUUCAUUUUUUUUCUCUGUUCUUCUCCGGCCAACCGCCGAAGUCUGGGGACACUUGGCCAGGAAAUUUUCCAGGCUUCACCUCGCUUAGAAACUCAACUAAAACUAGCAGUGUAAUAUACCAAUUUGAAGCUCAAAAGGAGAGGAAAAGAAAUAUACCAACAGGGGAUCCUUCCAUGGCCGAUAUUGGCCGGAAAACGGCACGAAGCCACCUGGUUUCUCGCCGGAAAUUGGUCAACUUUCCCCCGCCUUGAUUCCUGCUUCAAAAUGUCACCAAAGCAUCUCAAAAUUACCCUAAUCUACUCUAAAACGUGGUCCAAGAAGGUUUAGGUUAGUUUCGAGGCUCACCUUCACUGGAGUUCUCCAUUUCAUUUAGUCUCCGAUGCGAGGUCUGGAGGUUGUUCGAGUUUGGGUCCUGGGCUCGGAAAUAGAGAGAUGGGACAAGCUGGGGGUGAUGGUGACGUGGCUCGCCGGCGAGGUGCGAGAGGCUAUGGUUAAAAUAAUAAAUUAUUAUUAUUAAAAUAAUAAUUUAAAAACAAAAUAAUAUUAAAAUAAUGAUAUAAUAAUUAUGAGAAAUAUAUAAAAUAAUAAAUAGCUAUUUUUUUAACAAAAGUACUUUUUAGAUUUGUAGUUACAUAAAUUUUUUAUCGUAAAUCCGAUUUCGAUUCCGUUUACUCCUAUACGUUCGUACCGUCUUGUACACGUCACGAACUGAUGGUCAAUAAAAGUUAACAUUCUCGUCUCUAGAGCAUUUUUAUCAAUUCACUUAUUUAAAAUUCAUAAAAUUAUAAAAAUAGGGACGGAAUAUCAUGUUAGUAGCUUAUAUAAGAAAACUGGUAGUACAGGAAAUAUCAAAUUCAAUCAUGAAGAUAUUGACCUCGUCAAAAGAAUCAAAGAAAAAAUAAAAACAUACCAGAUCUUUCCUUACUAUUAGACAAUGAUUACUUAAUAAUUCAAACAGAUGAAUUUAGGGGGUUAAAUUUUGAGGGUAUUUAUGUUAAUUUGAUCAGAUUUUUGGCUAUAUUUGAAAGAUAAUGUAAAAACUGACAUUUAUGAAUUUAGGGGGUUAAAUUUUGACUAUAAAUGAUAAAAACUUCUAUGCUAUUGUAUUUCAUAGUAAGUUUUUUGUUAAUACCUUAACUUUAUAAUCAUCAAAAUAAUUUUUUUAACGAAUCGAAAUGGGUUACCCACAGGUUACUCGCGUGUAAACCCGUCAUUAACGAGUUCUAAAUAGGCGGCCCGAUAACGACUAUUAGUUGCUGUGUUGACUCAAAACCCGUUAUUUUCAUGUCAUUUUUGUGUUGAGUUAACAAAUCGUGUAAGAAAUUAUAAAGUCUAGUUGUAGACAAAUCCGCUCCUGCGCAUGUUAGAGUAUCACAUUUGUUGACCUCUCGACAGCUGACGCAGGCGGGUGGUCAGGUUACCUGCAAGAAACUAUAAUCCUAAGAACGAUGAUCCAAGUGUCACGGGCCAUGUGUUAAAAACAAAGAAAAUGCCCAAGACAUCAUAUAUCUAAGCCCAUGAAGCCAUGUCUUCAUGGAAGCUUCUGGAACGUCCCGGAGAAAUCAAGAACGUGGCGGAGCAUUCAAGAUAAUCUAGGGCAUUCCGGAACAUUCCACACAAGUGUACAUAUUUAAGCCUCACCUAGAAUAAUCUAGAUUAGGCAAGUUGUAUCUAGAACUAUGCUAGAUAUUUUUGGAUGUAAGUAGAGGAUUCUAGAACCCUCCAUUGAGGAGGUGACUUAGGCCUAUAAAUAGGAGGCAAGGCCAUUUGGCCAAACCAUCCAAGAAUUGUAAGCAAUUGUAAAGUUCUCUUAACUUUCAAUACAAAGCUUCCUUUCUCCCAUCUUCUAAGUGAUCUUAGCAUUCUCCAAGCUAUCUUAGCUUUCUUUGUGAUUCGAUCCGGGGAAGCGAGGCUUCGAAGGCUUACUUAGCUUGUUCAUCGAGGUAUUCAAGUCUAAGUGCCGCACGGGCGGAAGGCUUAAAGAGUCAUCCCGUGACAGCUGGUAUCAGAGCCUAGUUCGUGAAUCACUUGAAGGAAAGUAAGAUAUGUCAAGUGGAGAGACGGUGUCCGGAGUCUCCGAGCUAAGGGAGCGUGCUGUCGAGGUCCAAGACGUUGCCAAGAGCAAGCCAAAGUUAAAGGACUUGCAAGCAUCGAUGGAGACCAUGGAAGAGCGACUCGAGAAGAUGGAACGAACCAUACUCGAGUUCGAUACUCGACUUGAUGAGGACGUUGUCGACAAGGAGGAAAUCCAAACCAUAGUGGACAAUGGUAAGGAUGAACUGCGUGGCUUGGUGGAAGGGCUACGAGAUGAGCUCCUUGGCGCUCUCAACACCAUGGCAGACAAGAUGCGGAGGGAAGUCCAGGUUCACCUUGACAACAUAGAGGCAAGGUUUGUGGCGCUUCAAGAAGAGAUAAAGGACACAAGGGAACUCAAGGGAGAUGUGGCGUUUUGUAAAGAAGCAGUCGUGAAGCAAUUCGUGCAAGGGUCGAGGGAAAUCAAGUCGUUGGACUCCAAGGUAAUCGACUCCUUUAAACCCAAAUCCUAUAAUGGGAAGAGGGAAGCAAAGGAGCUCGACACAUUCGUGUGGAACGUAGAGCGAUACUUCAAGUACCUGAAGCUUGAAGAUGACGAGUCCAAAAUCUCAACGGCAACCAUGUUCUUAGCUGACAAUGCCCUUAUGUGGUGGCGUCGUCGGAGCAUGGAAAUUGAGCAAGGUACGUUCUCUCUCACCACUUGGGAUGAAUUUAAGAAAGAUCUUAUGUUGCACUUCUAUCCCCAAAAUGCCAAGUACGAAGCCAAGGAGAAACUAAGGUGGCUCAAGCAAACGGGGAGCGUCAAAGACUAUGUCAACGCCUUCGUGAGCUUGUUAUUCGAGGUGCCCAACAUGUUAGAGGAAGACAAGCUCAUGUACUUCAUGAGUGGACUGCAAAAUUGGGCAAAAACUCGAACUACAAAGGAGACACGUGCAAACAUUGUCUGAUGCCAUUGCCGCUGCCGAAUCCUUGAUUGAGUUUAAAUCAAGCCACCAAGGUGAUUCCAAGUCCACGGGGAAGAAGGGUAACCAUGAGAGAAGUGGGGGAGAACAUAAGCCGAAGGACAAGGCCGAGACAAGCAAACCGAAGGAGAAGAAAGCCGAUAAGCAUGACAAAGGCAAAGGUAAGUCUUGGCAACCCACUUGUUACCUAUGCGACGGCCCUCACAUGAUGCGAGAUUGCCCACAAAAGAAGGCCCUUAAGGCCAUGACCUUCAAGGAGGACAAGGCCGAAGAGAGUAACGAUGCAACGAUGGGAUGCAUCCGUCUACUGAAUGCCAUCCAGACAACCCUCCCACAACCUAAGGCUCAAGUUGGGGGAGGAUCAUUGUUCGUCGACGUCAAGACUGGUGACAAGACGACGCGUGUGUUGGUGGACACGGGAGCAACACACAACUUCAUGACGUCGGAGGAAGCAACAAGGCUUGGCCUCCGAGUCACAAAGGAGCCUGGUAGCGUGAAGACGGUAAAUUCCGCUGCCACCCCUAUUGUUGGAGUUGCGCGCAAUGUACAAGUAGACAUUGGCGCAUGGAAGGGAGAGAUCGACUUCACUAUAGUCAAGAUGGACGACUAUGGCGUAGUCAUUGGGUUAGAGUUCAUGGACAAGGUACGAGCCUUUCCCAUUCCCUUCUACAAUAUUUUCUGUAUCCUGGCCGAUGGAAGACAACCUUGCCUAGUGCCAUUGGAAAGGCAAGCCAAGAAGUGCACCCAACACUUGUCGGCAAUUCAAUUUGCCAAGUCUUGGAAGAAAGGCGAGGCCACAUUUCUUGCAACCCUAAUGUUGAAUGAAGGGGAGGAGAAGUACGGGCCUUUGCCGAAACAAGUGGAAGACGUCCUUGUGGAGUUUGCGGACGUGAUGCCUAAGGAACUGCCAAAGAAGUUACCACCAAGGAGAGAGGUCGACCAUGCGAUUGAGUUGGAGCCUGGUGCUAAGCCUCCCUCCAAAUCACCUUAUAGGAUGUCGCCACCCGAGUUGGAGGAAUUGAGGAAGCAACUCAACGAGCUACUUGAUGCUGGCUACAUCCAACCCUCCAAGUCCCCAUAUGGUGCACCCGUCCUGUUCCAACGCAAGAAAGAAGGUAGCCUAAGGUUGUGCAUCGACUAUAGAGCAUUGAACAAGAUUACCAUCAAGAACAAGUAUACCCACUUCCGUUGAUCGCCGACUUAUUCGAUCAACUUGGUGAAGCAAGGUACUUCACAAAGUUAGAUCUUCGAUCGGGAUACUACCAAGUGAGGAUAGCCCCUGGAGACGAAUCGAAGACGGCGAUGGUGACCAGAUAUGGAGCGUUCGAGUAUAAAGUCAUGCCAUUUGGUCUGACCAAUGCCCCCGCAACAUUUUGCACAUUGAUGAACAAGGUAUUCCAUCCUUAUCUUGACAAGUUUGUCGUGGUUUACAUUGAUGAUAUCGUUGUCUAUAGCAAGACAUUGGAGGAGCAUGUCAAGCACUUGCGCAUAGUGUUCCAGACCCUUCGGGAGCAUGAACUCUAUGUCAAGAAGGAGAAAUGCUCCUUUGCCACAAAAGAAGUAGAAUUUCUUGGCCACAAGAUAAAGGAGGGGAAACUUAUGAUGGAAAAGGGCAAGAUCAAGGCCAUUCAAGAGUGGGAACCGCCGACCAAGGUACCAACACUACGAUCCUUUCUGGGGCUAGCCAACUACUAUCGGAGAUUCAUAAAAGGGUAUUCAGCUAUAGCGGCACCUUAACAGACCUUCUUAAGAAAAACAAGGCAUGGGAAUGGACGGACCGGUGUCAAGAGGCCUUUUGAGAGGUUGAAGAAGGCCCUAAUGGAGGAGCCUGUACUAAGGUUGCCCGACCUUAGUAAGCCAUUCGAGUUGCACACUGAUGCUUCCGACUUUGCCAUAGGAGGAGUGUUGAUGCAAGAGGGACAUCCGAUAGCCUAUGAAAGUCGCAAGCUAAACAAUGCCGAGAAGAGGUACACGACCCAUGAAAAGGAGAUGACCGUCAUCGUCCAUUGCCUUAGAGUUUGGAGGCAUUACUUGCUUGGUACCCCAUUCGUCAUCAAGACGGACAACGUUGCCACUAGCUACUUUCAAACCCAACAAAAGCUCACACCUAAGCAAGCAAGGUGGCAAGAGUUCUUAGCGGAGUUUGAUUACAAGCUAGAGUACAAGCAAGGAAAGGAGAACGUGGUGGCCGAUGCUCUAAGUAGACGAGUAGAGUUAAUGGCUACGGUACUCAAGCCGCAAAGCCAUCUCUUGGAUCGUGUCCGAGAAGGUUUGUCACAUGACGUCCAAGCCAAGAACAUUGUGGAGUUUGUCAAGGAUGGGAAGACAAGAAGGUUUUGGCUUGAGGACGGCUUGCUAUACAGCAAGGGCAAGUGGAUCUACGUCCCAAAGUGGGGAAGCUUAAGGAAAGAAAUCCUUAAGGAGUGCCAUGACUCAAUGUGGGCAGGACAUCCUGGUACUCACCGCACGUUGGCUUUGGUAAGCGAUGCUUAUUAUUGGCCACAAAUGCGGGAUGAUGUAGAUUCAUACGUGAAGACUUGUCUUGUGUGCCAACAAGACAAAGUGGAACAAAGGCAACCGGGAGGACUGUUGGAACCACUUCCCACCCCAUCAAGACCAUGGGAGUGUUUGACCAUGGAUUUCAUCACACAUUUGCCCAAGUCUGAUGGAUGUGGAUCUAUCUUCGUCGUGGUCGAUAGAUUCACCAAGUAUGCCACUUUCAUACCCGCACCUGUGGAGUGCACAGCCGAAGUAGCUGCACGCUUGUUUCUAAAGCACGUGGUGAAGUAUUGGGGUGUUCCGAGGAGCAUAGUCAGCGAUCGAGAUGCUCGCUUCACGGGUAGAUUUUGGAAGGAGCUCUUCAAGCUACUUGGCUCAAAGUUAGACUUCUCCACAGCUUUUCAUCCCCAAACUGAUGGACAAACGGAGCGGGUUAACGCAUUGUUGGAGACUUAUUUGCGGCACUAUGUUAGUGCCAAUCAACGAGAUUGGGCUAAGUUACUUGAUGUUGCCCAAUUCUCUUAUAACUUGCAACGUUCGGAGUCGACGGGGAAAAGUCCGUUCGAGUUGGCUAUAGGGCAACAACCCUUGACCCCGAACACGGUCGUGACUGGCUACACGGGGAAUAGUCCAGCCGCUUUCAAAACCGCUAAGGAGUGGCAAUUAGCCCACGAACUUGCUCGAGCUCACUUGGAGAAGGCUUCAAAGAAGAUGAAGAAAUGGGCGGAUCGUAAGCGAAGGAAUGUGGAGUUCCAAACCGGCGACCAAGUCUUUGUGAAGCUCAAUGCGUCUCAGCACAAGAGUACUCGUGGCUUGCACAAGAGCUUGUUGCGGAAGUAUGAGGGACCAUUCCCUAUCAUCAAGAAGGUUGGCAAAGCCGCUUAUGUGUGUGGAACUCCCACCCCGCCUCAAGUUUCACCCGGUGUUCCAUGUGAGCAACUUAAAGCCUUAUCAUGCAGACAAUGAGGAGCCAAGCCGAGGUGAGUCUCAUCGAGCACCCCCUUUGAUGACGGAGGCAUUUGACAAAGAAGUGGAGAGCAUUGAAGCCAAGCGUGUCGUGGUGCGACCAAGACAACCAAAGCAUGUGAAGUACUUUGUCAAAUGGAAAGGGCUACCAUACUCCGAAGCAACAUGGGAGAAGGAGACGUCCUUAUGGCAAUAUAAGGACUUGAUUCAGACAUUCGAGAGGCAAGAGUCGACGAGGACGUCGACGGCUUAAGUGGGGGAGGAUGUCACGGGCCAUGUGUUAAAAACAAAGAAAAUGCCCAAGACAUCAUAUAUCUAAGCCCAUGAAGCCAUGUCUUCAUGGAAGCUUCUGGAACGUCCCGGAGAAAUCAAGAACGUGGCGGAGCAUUCAAGAUAAUCUAGGGCAUUCCGGAACAUUCCACACAAGUGUACAUAUUUAAGCCUCACCUAGAAUAAUCUAGAUUAGGCAAGUUGUAUCUAGAACUAUGCUAGAUAUUUUUGGAUGUAAGUAGAGGAUUCUAGAACCCUCCAUUGAGGAGGUGACUUAGGCCUAUAAAUAGGAGGCAAGGCCAUUUGGCCAAACCAUCCAAGAAUUGUAAGCAAUUGUAAAGUUCUCUUAACUUUCAAUACAAAGCUUCCUUUCUCCCAUCUUCUAAGUGAUCUUAGCAUUCUCCAAGCUAUCUUAGCUUUCUUUGUGAUUCGAUCCGGGGAAGCGAGGCUUCGAAGGCUUACUUAGCUUGUUCAUCGAGGUAUUCAAGUCUAAGUGCCGCACGGGCGGAAGGCUUAAAGAGUCAUCCCGUGACACAAGGAUCCCUUUCUUUAUUAAUUAGAAGGAGCAGAUAGUUUGUAGCAAUUUAAAUCUUGUUGGAAAGAUUGAUAUGUUCCCAUCCAGUGACCUGGAUUUCACAGAUGAUUUUAUGCAAAAGUAUUCAAAAAUAAAGAGAUGAAUUUGUACUGGUUUUAUAUGUUCUAAUGCUUCAUGACAUUAAGCGUGCAAGCUCUUCUCAUGUUUUUUAUGUUCUAUUUUUAUUUAUUUAUAUAUUUUAUACCACUGAAAUUGAGAGAAGUUACAAUUUAACACAGAACCUCAAACGAGAAUCGAAUACAGAACCUCGUCGUCGACGUUAGGUAAGAUAUAAUCAAUGAUGUGAAGACUUGUAUAAACACAAUGAAUUUCAAAGGUUAAAGAGGAAGAUAUAAAUGCAGGUCAAAGAAACAUCAUUUACAGGAAUAUAUUUACAAGUUACAAGCCAACAAGGUGCGUCACAAAAAUCAAGUUUACAUACAUCAACGCAGAAAUACUAACACAACUAUAAUCAUACAAAAGAAAAACAAACAAGCAAAAUACGAAAGGGAAAAAGAGGGGACUGUCACUCCUACAUGGGAAAAACUUGAGCGUAGCUGGGAAUUUUCCGCCCUGCUUCUAUCUCUGACUUGAUGUGAGAGAUAAAAGACAGGGCGGAUAAAUCCUCAAUUACAUGCUAGAAUCCCCGCUAGCUUGGGUACCUGUCACUACCACAUCUAUGACUACCCGAUACUAAGGGAGGUGAGCCAGAACCGCCUUCAAAAUCAACAUCCGCAUCAUCACAAGACCAAUCACUUGCCUUCACAAAACCUGAUGAUGUGGGAUAAGAAUGCACAUAAUCCUCAAACUCAACACCCUUCUUCCCAUCAUAAGCCCCGGGAGACGCCACUGCGUCCGGCAGCGCUGCCUCACCCUCCAAGUACCUCACCACCUGCCUCAUUGUGGGUCUUGCCUUGGGGGAAUUAUUUGAGCACAUCAGCCCUAGCUUCAGCACCACCACAGCCUCCAGAUCAUCAAACUCAUCCUCCAAUCUGGGGUCCACAACUUCAAGAAUUGCACCAGCCUUCCACUUCUCCCAAACCCAAUCAACCAACAUCAGCUCCUCCGGCAGGGCUUUUGGCUCGAUGGGUCUCCUCCCACACACCAGCUCCAGCAGGAGAGCACCAAGAGCAAACACAUCCGAGCUCGGAGUUGGUUUUCCGGUCCGAGUAAACUCGGGAGCGAGGUAACCCAGUGUCCCAACAACCCUAGUUGUUGUAGGGUUUGUUCCAUGCUCAUACAAUUUAGCAAGACCGAAAUCUCCAAGCCUUCCAUUCAUCUCAGAAUCCAAAAGCACGUUUCCUGCUUUUACGUCCCUAUGAAUCACAGUCUGCUCCCAACCUUCGUGCAAAUACAAUAAGCCAGAAGCUACAUUUUGAGCUAUCUUGAACCUCUGUUCCCAGCUCAAAAUUGCUUUUGGCUUCUCAAAUAAAUAUUUAUCCAAGCUCCCAUUAGCCAUAAAAUCAUACACAAGCAACAAAUCUCCACGCCGGCGACACCACCCCAACAACUGCACUAAAUUCCUGUGCCUGAGACGGCCAAUGGUGGCGAUUUCCGACACGAAUUCCUGCAGACCCUGCCUCGACUCGUGCGAAAUUCGCUUAACCGCCACUUGGGUUUCCGAAUUCGGCAGUGUCCCCUUGUAAACCUUACCAAAUCCACCAAACCCGAUCAACUCUUUAUCCCUGAACCCUCUGGUGGCCUGCUUCAGCUCAUUGUAUCUGAAUCUAUGAGGCCCAAUGUCGAGCUCCCACGGCUCGAUCACCUCGGCGUUCUUGAUCCUGUGAACAAUGUAGAAGCCCAAUCCGGCGGCCAAGAUAAAGAAAACAAGAACAGAAAGAGAAACGCCAACGAUCAACGCUGAUGAAUGCUUCUUUUUCGGGCCGGGAAGUUUAGGCAGAGCUUCUAAAUCCAGAGAUUUGGCUUCUCCGUUCAUCUUAAAGCUCCAACCGGAGACGUAGUGGGAGCUGGCGAGCAACCCGGUCGAAGCAGAGAAUCCAACGUACAUAAAAUCUUCCAAAAUUGGAGAAAGAUCGACAUCGAAUGUUAAAAUAGGGGAUCUGGGUUUGAUCGAAUCGGGUGAAAGCAUGACAGUGACUUGAUUUUUCACCGAAUCGUAGUCGACCCAGGCCUGGAUCGGCAGCCCACUCUUGAGCUUGAGGUUCUCCUUCGUCGAAUUUCCACCGGUGAAAAACCCGGCUGGGGUCGAUUUGUUGGAAGCCAGGCUGUUGAUAUCGAUUCCGACAUGGUUGUCGUUGAUGUCCCCGAAUUCGAAGUCCUGGACUGUGUCGAAUUCGACGGCAAAGAUGUGGUUGGAGAAGUUGCCGACGACGGUGGCGUUGAGGAUGCCGAGGUACUGGCUGGGGAGGGAUCCCGGGAGCGAUUUCGACGGCGAGAUUAUGAAGGCAAGGCCGUGGCCGCCGAGCUUUGGGUACUCCGGGACGAUGGUGAAGACGAAGGAGGUGGAGAAGGAAAAGGCUUUGCCGUCGGUGGAGUUUUUGAAUCGGACUGGGGCGGAGUAGAAGGCGUGGCCGAGGACUCUGGGAGUGUUGUCUGUGAGCUUGAGCAUGCCGUUGACCAUGAUUGCUGCGACGCCGUUUAAGCUCAUGUU